rnacentral:rRNA from 1 species
UACGUAGGGUGCGAGCGUUGUCCGGAAUUACUGGGCGUAAAGGGCGCGUAGGCGGUAGCACAAGUCAGUUGUGAAAUCUCCGGGCUUAACUCGGAAAGGUCAACUGAUACUGUGCGACUAGAGUGCAGAAGGGGCAACUGGAAUUCUCGGUGUAGCGGUGAAAUGCGUAGAUAUCGAGAGGAACACCUGCGGCGAAGGCGGGUUGCUGGGCUGACACUGACGCUGAGGCGCGAAAGCCAGGGGAGCGAACGGG